UUCAUUUUGUUUGACGACGAGCAAAAAGUCAAUUUGAAGCAAGUAUUAGGCACUAAAAAUACUAUAAAUGCAAAUUACCUUUAAUGGCUGCAAGUCAGUGUUGAAUCAAAAAUUCACCAUCCACAUCAGCAUUAGCUCAAGCCAAUCGCAAUCCAAAAUCGAAAUGUGUGCUGAACGAAUUAAACGUAAAAUUCGGUGUACUAAACUUUCAAAACCCAGCCUGACAGAAUAGGAUGAUGAGGAAUUGAUAUACUCAGAUCUAUAGCCAGUAUAUAUAAUCUAAACUGAAGAACUAGCAUGAAAGUCGACUCCUUGUAAAUUAAA